GCCUCAGCGAUGGGGCAGUGGCGAACGGUCGCGUAACACGUAAGCAACCUGCCCUGAAGUGGGGGACAACAGGCCGAAAGGCCUGCUAAUACCGCAUGUGGCCUCGGGAUCGCCUGUUCCCGUGUCUAAAGCCUUGUGCGCUUCAGGAUGGGCUUGCGGCCUAUCAGGUAGUUGGUGGGGUAACGGCCUACCAAGCCGACGACGGGUAGCUGGUCUGAGAGGAUGGUCAGCCGGAUUGGGACUGAGAUACGGCCCAGACUCCUACGGGGGGCAGCAAUUAGGAAUCUUGCGCAAUGGGGGCAACCCUGACGCAGCGACGCCGCGUGCGGGAUGAGGGCAUUCGUGUCGUAAACCGCUUUUCUGGGGGAAGAAGCUCUGACGGUACCCCAGGAAUAAGCCCCGGCUAACUACGUGCCAGCAGCCGCGGUAAUACGUAGGGGGCGAGCGUUGUCCGAAGUUACUGGGCGUAAAGCGCGCGUAGGCGGUCUCUUAAGUCUGGGGUGAAAGGUUCAGCGCUCACCGUGAACAGUGCCUUGGAUACUGGGAGACUUGAGUCUGGGAGGGGGAAGUGGAAUUCCUGGUGUAGCGGUGAAAUGCGUAGAUAUCAGGAGGAACACCGGUGGCGAAGGCGGCUUCCUGGCCUAAGACUGACGCUGAUGUGCGAAAGCGUGGGGAGCGAACGGGAUUAGAUACCCCGGUAGUCCACGCCGUAAACGAUGAGUGCUAGGUGUCGGGGGUAUCGACCCCCCCGGUGCCGUCGCUAACGCAUUAAGCACUCCGCCUGGGGAGUACGGCCGCAAGGUUGAAACUCAAAGGAAUUGACGGGGGCCCGCACAAGCGGUGGAGCAUGUGGAUUAAUUCGUCACUAACCGAAGAACCUUACC
rnacentral:rRNA from 1 species